CAGGGAUAAUAUAUAGCCUAUAGACUUCCUCGAUAAAUGGGCUAUCUAACACUGAAAGAAUUUUUCAAAUCGGACCAGUAGUUCCUGAGAUUAGCGCGUUCAAUCAAACAAACACUUCAGCUUUAUAAUAUUAGUAUAGAUAAAAUGAAAGUGUCUGUAUAUGAUUUUAAUUCUAGUGUGUAGUGUAAUUGUAUAAUUGUCCUUGCCUUGCCCUGAAAGAUUUUGCGGAAAUAAUGAUAAAUUCAUUUAUUGAUGGCAGGGCAAAAAAAGGCUUCAAAUAUAAGCGAAAGUUUUUGUUAUUGCUAAUGAUUUUGAAACUAACAAAUCAGCAAACAUAUACACGUAAUGUAAUGAAUCAAAAAACCAGUAACCAAAAAAAUUACCUAUUUUAGAUAUCUACCUUGACAAAAAGUAAAAAACACAGCAAAAAUGUCGGUGUGCUGCUAUUGUAGGCAGAUAAAACCAAAUUAUUUUUUUUUAGAUGUCGAUUAAAAGUUCUACAUAAAUUACUAUUACUAAUACUACUACUACUACUAAUUAUACUUAUUAAUUUACCAUCAUACAACCAUAAGUGAAAUACAAGAAUUGGUAAAAAAAAGCAAGAGUUUUAUUGUCGUAGGCAGAAUGAAAAUGAAAAUUGAUAAUAAUUUAUUUUUACUAUUCUCCGCGAAAAACUUACAAAUCCAAGCGGCAACGUCUCCCAACUCUACAUACUUUUCACCCCAAAACCAGAGCAUCAUUAGGAAAUGUUGUAUCUACAGUGUUAAAAUGCGAUAUAACGCCUACUUCUAUUAUUUAAAGGACACAUGGUAACUCAGCAUUCGGUUAGGCUUUAAUUUCUAACGCCGUUGUAUCGAGGCAAAGGUGAAACCGGAGCUCGACCUCGUUCAGAUGAGUGUUGCUCAAGAUUUCGUGUUUCCUUUCCGUUGGUAAGCUGCUCUGCGAUACGCCUACCGUGCAAUGCAAUUUUAAACAGCUAGUAAACUUGGACACAAUUUAUUUUGUACUAGCGGACGCCCGCGACUUCGUCCGCGUGGAAUUCAGUUAUCACAAUCUCGCGGGAACCGUGGAUUUUUCUAGGAUGAAAAGUCGCCUAUGUGUUAACCCAGAGUAAAAUCUAUUUCCAUUCCAUAUUUCAGCCAAAUUGCUUCAGUAGUAGCGGCGUUAAAGAGUAACAAACAUGAAACAUCCAAACAAACAAACAUCCAUACAAACUUACACGUUUAUAAUAUUAGUAGGAUGUACGAGUAGUUUGCGACCAUCGCAAACACAUAACAUAUGAAAACGGUAAAGCGACGGAAUCUAAUGGUCUCGUUUUGAGAGUGUAAGUUGAAUAACCUGAUGUUGAUUUUAUUUCACAUAUUAUUUCAUCAUCAUUAUCAUCAUCAUCAUCAUCAUCAUCAUCAUCAUCAUCAUCAUCAUCAUCAUCAUCAUCAUCAUCAUCAUCAUCAUCAUCAUCUUAUUUUAACGACCUACUACAGAGCCAGGCCUCCUCCUUAUUGGAGAGGGGAUGUUCGUCCAGUGGUUAGCCUAGGAGUAUAUAAUUACAUAGUUACUAUGAGUUAAAUAGUCAUUGCGUUUAUAAAAACUAGCCUACCCCCCGCGGUUUCACCCGCAUAGUUCCCGUUCUCCUGAUGAUACGGGGAUAAAAUACACUCGAAAAUAACGUGGUAAAAAAAUAAUUUUCAGAAUCCAAAGAUUACCCCCACAACACUACAAACUUUACCUCUAUGUAAAAUUAGUAUCUACCCAGUACCUAUCUUAUGACAACAGCUAUCAGCCCAAAUAAUCUAGUUUCUACUGUAUGUUGCUAAAAUAUGGUUUGUUCAUUAAAUGUAUUUUUUUUUCCUAUGCUUAAAAUGCAAUAACAUACGAGUGUGUGUAGGUAUAUUGACACUUACCAACUUAUGUACAUAGUAAUUGUUAUCUUUGUUAUCAGCACGAAUAAUAGUUCAGGUGAUAACUUUAUCGUUAAACAUGAGUGCCCUCAAUGUAUGUAUUAUAUGUAUGUAGAUCACAACAGAAAAUGAUAAAAGUUAACGCUUAUGUAGAUACAUUUAUGUGCAUCUGUAUAUACUCAAUACAGGUAGAGUUGCCAGGUGGCAAAACCUAAUUGCCGGACAGAUUAGCUAGGUUGGCCGGACAUUUGAGAUAAAAGACCGGACCGGACACCCUAUAGUUGUAAGGAUUUAGUGUAUCAGUAUUAAUACGACAAAAAGUUGUACGUAAUUAUUGACAUAAAUCUUGUUAAAUUUUAAUGAAAUGUAGAUAAAACCGAAUGCCAAAUAAAUCUAUACUAAUAUUAUAAAGAGGUAAAGUUUGUAAGUUUGUCACAUUUUUUAAAUGGGGUAAUCUUCGGAACUACUGGUCCGAUUUUAAAAAUUCUUUCACCAGUAGAAUGCUUCAUUAUCGGGGAGUGCUAUAGGCUAUAUUUUAUAUUGGUAUCAUAUAUAUUAUAUCACAGUUUUUGUCAUACAGGUCGGACUGAAAAUCCUCUUAAAAAGACUUAUUCGCAUGCGCUGCCUUAACUAUUGUGUAAAAUUGAAAUUAAUGUAUGGAGACUUUAUGUAUCUUUAAAAGUUCUACAAAAAAGUCCGCGACACCAUAUAUCUAUCUUCUAUAUAUUAGCAGAUAUAGUACCUUUUGUGUUUUAAAAAUUAUUAAUUUUAUAUACUUAGGUUUACGUCAUUAUUUAUACAACUAAACUGUAAUCCUUAUUAAAAUAAAUUAUUUAAUAAUCACAAGGAUAUUAUGGAGAUAAGAUUUGCCCUUUACAGUAUGUUAAUUACUUAAAUAGUUUCGGAGAUAAUACAAAAUUUCUAAAAGACGCAGAAAUUUCGCUAUAUGACGCCCGGCGCUUUCAUUUACGUAGUUUCCGUUCGCGUGUGAAUAUGGGGAUCAAACAUAGCCUAUGACACUCGCAAAUAACGUAGCUUUCUAUUGGUAAAACAAUUUUUCAAAUCGGUCCAGUAGAUCCAGAGAUUACCUCCUACAACCACACGAACUUUACCUCUUUAUAUUAUUAGCAUAGAAGUCUCUAUUUCUCUUGGUCAUACCACCACUCUCGAAGGACUGGACCGAUUUUGCUAGGGGUAGGAGUAAGAUAGAGAAGUUACAGGGUAGGGUAGGGUACGGGUAGGGAAGCGUAGGGGUAGGGUAGGUUUAGGGCCGGGUUUAGGGUAGUGGUAGGGUAGGGGUAGAGGUAGGGGUAGGGUAGUGGUAGGGUAGAGGUACGGGUAGGAUAGGGAAGUGGUAGGGUAAGGGUAGGAUAGGGGUGAGAUAGGGGUACGGGUGGGAUAGGGGUAGGAAAGGGAUAGGGUACGGGGAGGGUAGGGGUAGGAUGGGUGUAGGGUGUAGGUAAGGUAGGGGUAGGUUUGGGGUAGGGUAGGCUUGGGGUAGUGGUAGGAUAGGGUAGGGGUAGUAGUAAAGUUGACAUCGAAAUUUACGCGGACGAAGUCGCGGGCGUCCGCUAGUCUACGUAUAAUCAGUCAAAUAAAGUCUUCACUCGAAAUCAAAUUCUAAAUAAAUAUUUACUUAUCAACAUUUUUGUGUUUGCUAAAUGUAAAAUACCUAAUAAAAGCCGGAUGCCGUUUAUUUUGGCCGGAUACGUAGUUGCAAAGCCUAACUAUGUCCGGCUUUAUCCGGAUGCCUAGUGACCCUAAAUAUAGGGCCUGUAGAGCCUUUCUUCAUUAUUGUAUUAAACAUUAAUUUAUCUAAAUUAGUUACACAUGUGUCUGCACAUGCUCUCAAUACAGCUAGGGUAGCUUCGGGAUUUUAUGAAAGCUGGAAGUUUGUAUGCUCCUACCAUAGAAGAAUGUCUUUUUGGAAUUAGACCAUGAUGGCUUGGGAGGUAGCAGGUUUAAAAGUCCAGUCUCUCAGUCAUUCGAGUAUUAACCACAUUUUCUUUACAAUAUCGCGAAAAAAAACCUUAAAAAGUACACUAUAUUAUACUCAUGACAAUUGAACGUCACACCUUUAUUACCACUAUUUUAAACCACAAAGAAUAUAAUAUAAACUCUAUAAUUGCCUACCGUAAAUAUCUAUAGUAAGUAAGAGCAAACUGACAAACUUACACUUUCAAACUGUCUGACCACCACAUUUUCUCAGACCAUAAUAAAAUAGAAGAAACUGAGUGUAUGUAAAAACUUAAAAUAUUUAAAAUAUUGUGUCCUCUAAACUCUCAAAGUAGCGGGGUUUGCUAGUUUAUUUAUAUUUAUUGUUAUGUGAUCUUUACUACCUUGGAUCGCCCAUUCCGUGUACAUCUUGGAAACCUUCCAAACGUUUUACUUUAAGUGAUUCUACUGUUCCAUAGUGGAACUUAACGGAUCACAGAAUUGCUUGAUGUGUAUUGGAUGGAAGACCAAUGGUUAAUAACAUAGCAAAGCAUAUACGCACAGACCAAGUUUUCUAAGUGUAACAUUUAGUUGUUUUUACUUGUAAAGAAGGGCGUCCACAGAUCGGCAUCGUACUGUUCGUAUCGAGACGAAUAUUUUAGCAUUCCAUGGAUUCACCGUGCAGGUGCCGGGUCCAUCGCGUGGUAGAGAGAAAAACACCAAGCAAAGUCCAGGACUUGUGACUACUGGAUGUAGGGUUAAGGAAUUCCUUGACGAUCGAUCAACACUCCCCUUCUCUGCUCGUGUUGUUCUCCCUACCUAUCCAAAUUUGGUAAGAUCCUAUUAGAGCAGCUUUGGAUACUCGUUCUAAUAUAGAAUUAGCUGCACUUCUAGAUAUGCCAAGGUCUUUAAGCAAGUAAUAGAGAGUUUGCUGGUAAUCCUCUCGCAUUUACUUCUACGGCGUACAGACUAACUACGUAGCCAUUUUUAGUUAGUUCAUUUGUUAGGUCAUAAUAUUUAUUCACUUUUAAACUGUGGUCCUUCGGAAUGUUAGUCUCUCACGGCACAGUAAGCUCUACAAGUACUAUUCGCUUUGUUUGUUUGAACAAAAGGAAAAUGUCUGGUCUAGAUCUCGAAAUAGCGACAUCCGCAGGGAUUUAAUUUUUUGCAAUAACUCAAAAGGUACUAGGAUUUUGCGUUCCUAUACAUAGUAUAGCGUAGUUCAGAUACGUAUUAGGAGAAACAGUUUAACUCCGUUUAACAGUUUAAAUAUAGAGGUUAAUAUUUUCAUAAACCUAUGGUUAAGGUUUUAAACUCAAAUAAUAUAAUCAGAAGCAAUAUUUUAAAAUAAUCCUAUGUUCACAGCAGUGCUCUUUCCCAAAAUUUCCACUGAUUUGCAUCGUUAGUUGCAUUAAUUGCAUCAUCAACAAGCACUUAAAUUCAAUAAACAAUUAACUCCGAAUAAGUAUAUAAUCAUUUCAGUUGUAAUAUUAUGACUUUGUGGCAUUUAUUUUCUGAAAAUUGUGUUAAACAUUUAUUGCUGAUCCGAAAAACAGGAAAACGUGUUACUGCACUUUGUAGACAACAACUUAUAUAAAAUGCAUAUUAUUAUUAAUGUAUUAUUAGUCAUAUUAUGGUUAUUGUAUAAAAUUAAUCUUAGUUUGUAUUGUCGUUUCUACACUAUAUACUUAUUAGCAACAAUUCUCUGACAUGUUUAAUUCAACUAUUUUCCGUAUCUAUACUAAUAUUAUAAAGCUGAAGAGUUUGUUUGUUUGUUUGAUUGAACGCGCUAAUCUCAGGAACUACUGGUCCGAUUUGAAAGAUUCUUUUAGUGUUAGAUAGCCCAUUUAUCGACGUAGGCUAUAGGCUAUAUAUUAUCCCCAAAUUCCUACGGGAACAGGAACCACGCCGGUGAAACCGCGCGGCGUCAGCUAGUUAACAUUAUAAAUGCUAAAGUUGUUCUGUCUGUAUAUCUGUUUGUUACCUUUUCACGACUGAUAUAGAUUUAAAUUUGGUAUAAUUAAAGACUCUUUGAGCAGAACACACGCAAGUUGCUUUUUAUCUCAAAAAUAAACAUAAAACUUGAGAGUUUGUAUAAAAAGUCCUUAAUUUUUAUAAAUAUAAGUUAACCAAAAUUUUAUCUCAAGUUGUUAUAGUAAAUAAAUAUAAAUAAACCAUUUUCCAAGUUACAUUUACACACAUAUGCUAUAGGGUUAAAAAGGGAUGAGGAAUGGUUAGGUACACGGAUUUUCUUGCGAACAAAGUCGCGGGCACCGCUAGUACUAUAAGGAGCGAUUAAAAGUCGAGUUUGUGUACUUUAAAAUUAAAUAACUUAAAAUCAAAAUGACUAUGAAACAAUCAAUUAAUAUGAAUAACACUCACGAUAGUUUAAAUUCUAAAAAUCAAAAUGACGCCAUAAAAAACUUCAAUAAAUGUUUUUUUUUUCAUUAGGACCUACGCCCCUUACUCAUUUGUUAUGAAUAUGACUUGGCUAUGUAUUUUCUGAGUCGUAACUAAGAUGACUCGUAAUCGUAGCCAGACGUAGGAUCGUUUAUUUUACACAGAAUAUAUAUUUGUACAAGUUGUUGAUAUUCGAUUUCGUACCUUAAUGCUAUGAAUUAGAGUUGAUUGUUCACAGUUGAGUUGGUUGUGCGUUAGUGUGCUGACUUCUCAAUGAGAAUGUUUUAGGGUUGCCGCGGUGUCAGUUUUCUAAUUCUGUAAUAUGGAUAAAAAUGUUAUUUCUGCUUGAAUCAUUGAAAUCUCAUACAAAUUUUUAACCGACUUCCAAAAAGGAAGAGGUUCUACGUUCGACUAUAUGUAUGUUUUUCUACGUUAUUAUUCUACUAAAGUGAGAAAACUGUACAUUUUUUUAAUACGUAUAUCAUUACGAUUACUUAUUAAAAAACGAGAUAUUGCAUUUCUACGGUCUUGCCUGUUCUUGUUAAUAUUGAUCAAAAAUAUUUUUUUCUAAAUACUCAAUACUUUAAACACAAAAUAACUAUAUUUUAUAAGUUUUGUAUAUCUUAAAGGUCGAAACCAAGGUAGGUAGGUCUGUAGGCAUACAAGAUUUAGGCCGAAUUUAAACCUUAUUGCACUGGAACAAGGUCGAAUAGAUCUAGACGUAUUUGUUAGAUCAAUAGCGAGCUCACGCGUACUGAUCAUUCAAUGAGUGAGUUCCCAGCAGGGUUGUCGAUGUUCGCCUAGUCUUCCUUCGUGGAAAACCCUUAGUAUAGAUUUUCAUGCAAAAUUUCCCUACCUCAUUACCAAAGGGGGAGCCUUUCUAACAGUAUGCCUCCUCUGUAAUAAUACCUACUUAAAUAUUUUUAUAGUCAGACAGGUAUUUUACAAAGAUAAACGCGUUUAAGGCCUAAACCACUAAACCUAUUUUCAAAAUUCUUACACCAAUGUAAAGCUACAGUAUUGUCGAGUAGAAAGGGAACUACGCGGUUGAAUACGCGGGAGCUUCCACUACUAUUACUAUUUAACAACGCGUUAUGUUGUAUUGCUUCCUCGUACAUACGAAGAAAAACACCUACUAUGAGGAUAUAAUAUAGUGGAAAAUAGUCUUUUUUUUUUUAAAUAUAUUUGUCACAUUUUAGUCUUGUUUUAAACUAAAUCAGGACUAAAAUGUGACAAAUAUUCUUAAAAAAAAGACUAUAUUAUAUUAUGAUAGUCUUUUAAAACCAUUUUAUAAGAACUCUCUUCUUUUUGAUAUGUCUCGUUCAUGAAUUGCUUUAUUUCCGGCCUCGAAGUAGGGUAAAACGCUACAAUACGCCCCAGUUGACAAUAAGCCCCACUGCGCCUACACACGCACAAAUACAGAUAUCAGACAAGCAGUGACACGAACGGUGGCGCGCCAGUCGCCCGAAAACAUGGCUGCUGGUUAGACGUGAUAUUUGCGAGUAAUUAGGAAAAAAAUCUAAAUCAUUUGUAAAGUGCUUCGGAACAUAUUGCGAUGCCGCGGAAUUUUCAAAGAAAUAGUAUGUAUAAAGUACGCAGCGAGGAGAUGAUAGUCAAUGAAGCCUCUAGAGUGUACAAAAUCAUCAAGAACACUUAAAAGACAUCUGUUAACAGGAGAGCUGAAAGUUCCAUUGGAGAGACCGUUUGUUUCUUCAGAACAGCACGAGAAAAAACUGGUAGUUCAUAUCAAAAAACUUUAAAAAGUUGGCUUUGCACCUAAUCGCAAGGAUAGGAAACUAAUAGGCAAAGCUUGGGGAAAGGCUGCUCGUAUGUCCAACGAUAUCGCUGCUUUAAAGUCCUGUGGAAUCUACCCGUAUGAACCGACCGCUAUACCAGAGAAGAUAUAUGCACAUCAAAUACUGUAUUUGAAAAAAAUGUCCUGAUAUAUCAUCGACAUCAGGAUCUGCAGGACAAACUCCAACGAAAUUGUCGACUAAAAUUCACCCCAUACCUGAGUUACCAGCAAUGAUGUUAAAGAAAAAACAAAAGGCUUGUGUUGGCGUCUCAAGAAAAUAUCCAGAAAAAAAAGCGACAGAAAAAAAUAUCAAGGAUGCAGAAUAUGACUAUGCACAAAAUAAAGAAUAUGACUAUACUCAUCAUCAUCAGAAAGCGAUAAUAAUGAACAAAAUUGUAGGAGUUCUUCUAAUAUAGAUAUUUUUGAUGAUGAACAGAAUAGGUGCGUUGAGUGCACAGAUUAUUGUACGACUUCUAAAGAGGAUUAGAUGAGAUAUUUAUCAUGUACAUCUUGGAUGCAUGAAUUUUGAACAAUGUACCAUGAAUCCUUUAUGCAAAGUUUGUGGUAGAAAAGCGAAACAGGAGGCUGUGAUAUGAACAAGUUUAAGAACCCAAAUAAAUAAGUAGAUACUAUGCUACUUAAAUAUAGUAUAUAAAAUUAUUAUAGUGAUUAAGAAUUUGAUCUCAAUGUAACUUAAGACUAUAAUUGUUAAUUUUCAGUUAUUUGGAUUAGGUAUAGUUUAAAAAAUUGUUUAUUUUUUGCAUAUAAUUACAGUGGGGCAUUUUGUACUAGACGUGAGGCAUAUUAUCAACUCAUAGCACUACAAAACGCCCUAUCUAAGGUUUAAAAAAAAUAGUAUUUUUAGCUAGUGUAUAAGGAUUCUUUACCAAACUAAAGUGCCAUUUUGUAGUUUAAAAACUGUUUGUUACAUAUCUUACAAAAUACACGAUUACAAUUUA